rnacentral:rRNA from 1 species
GAUGAACGCUGGCGGCGUGCCUAAUACAUGCAAGUCGAGCGAACACACGAGGAGCUUUCUCCUCUGACGUUAGCGGCGGACGGGUGAGUAACACGUGGAUAACCUACCUAUAAUACUGGGAUAACUUCGGGAAACCGGAUCUAAUACCGGAUAAUAUAUUGAACCGCAUGGUUCAAUAGUGAAACACGGUUUUGGCGUCACUUAUAGAUGGAUCCGCGCCGCAUUAGCUAGUUGGUAAGGUAACGGCUUACCAAGGCGACGAUGCGUAGCCGACCUGAGAGGGUGAUCGGCCACACUGGAACUGAGACACGGUCCAGACUCCUACGGGAGGCAGCAGUAGGGAAUAUUCCGCAAUGGGCGCAAGCCUGACGGAGCAACGCCGCGUGAGUGAUGAAGGUCUUCGGAUCGUAAAACUCUGUUAUUAGGGAAGAACAAAUGUGUAAGUAACUAUGCACGUCUUGACGGUACCUAAUCAGAAAGCCACGGCUAACUACGUG